rnacentral:rRNA from 1 species
GAUGAACGCUGGCGGCGUGCCUAAUACAUGCCAGUCGAGCGAACAGACGAGGAGCUUGCUCCUCUGACGUUAGCGGCGGACGGGUGAGUAACACGUGGAUAACCUACCUAUAAGACUGGGAUAACUUUGGGAAACCGGAGCUAAUACCGGAUAAUAUAUUGAACCGCAUGGUUCAAUAGUGAAAGACGGUUUUGCUGUCACUUAUAGAUGGAUCCGCGCCGCAUUAGCUAGUUGGUAAGGUAACGGCUUACCAAGGCAACGAUGCGUAGCCGACCUGAGAGGGUGAUCGGCCACACUGGAACUGAGACACGGUCCAGACUCCUACGGGAGGCAGCAGUAGGGAAUCUUCCGCAAUGGGCGAAAGCCUGACGGAGCAACGCCGCGUGAGUGAUGAAGGUCUUCGGAUCGUAAAACUCUGUUAUUAGGGAAGAACAAAUGUGUAAGUAACUAUGCACGUCUUGACGGUACCUAAUCAGAAAGCCACGGCUAACUACGUG